rnacentral:rRNA from 1 species
AUGGUUACGAAAGCCAGGCAGCUGUCUUUGAAUAAUUCUUUGGAUACUAUCUCAUGGAAGCAUAAUAGUAAAGGAAAAUUUACGACUAAGUCGGUUUACGAGUGGCUAGAAAGGAACCUAUCAGGCCCUUAUUAUAAGUGGGUGUGGAGGUCUCCUAUUCCACUGAAAAUCAAAAUUUUCUUGUGGUAACUUUUUCAAAAUGCGGUGCUUACUAGAGAUAAUAUGCGGGCUAGGAGGUGGCCUGGGGAUCCUACAUGUUCCUUUUGUGCUAAUGUUGAAACAGCGAAUCAUCUAUUCUUUGCUUGCCCACUCGCUCGCACUGUUUGGGGUGUGUUGGGGAUGACGGGUGGAGCAUCUUGCUAUCCUCGAUCACUUUGGCAAAGCUGGACGUGGUUGUAUAGGUUCUUCCCGGGAGGGGAACGCUUUUAUAUGAUGAUUAUCGCUGCUGUUUGCUGGGGGAUCUGGAACCUUCGAAAUAAAGUCACUUUUGAGAAACAUGUUACACGCACUCUACUAGAGGCUGUUUUCACUGCAUGUUCUUUUAUGUUGUAUUGGGCAGGUUUGCUUAAAGAAGAUGACAAGGUGAAGUUUCAGGCUAGUGUGAAGAGAUUGGCUCAUGCGGCUGCUGCACUGGCGAAUCGAUCCUUUCCCCGUGGCAGACUCCUCCUCGGCGACAAUGAGGGGAUCCAGAUCGGCUAG